GGCUUCUUGGAAAAGUCGCAUUCAGUGUAACUCAACCAAAAUGCAUCAGGGACCUGCUUUCUCUGUGCGGUGUGAGUUCCACUGGCCCCUGCCUCACUGACGGGACCCUUUGGAGUUGCCGGAUUUAGCAAACAAAAAUAUAGGACAUCUCCUUAAAUAGAAAGUUCAGCUCUGCAGGUGAGGAAACAGGCCUGGAGCGGCCGUGUAACUCGCCCCAGGACACAGAGCUCGAAAGUGCCAGUCUGGCUCCAGAGGUCAUGCUUUUGUCUGCACAGCCUAUCUGCAGUCUGGAUCGGGCCCCGGGGCCCAGCCGUUUGCAGCCUCUGGUUGGUGGGGCUGUGCCGUGCACUGGAAGCUGUACUCUAAAACGGGGUUCCAGUGUGUGUGUCUCUCCAGGAAGGCCUCCCCACCCCUAUUCCCGAGGCUGGCCUAGAACCGGCCCGGCCUCCACAGCUACCUAUCCUCCCCCGUGUGGCACUUGGCAGCCUGCGUGCUAAUCACGGUGGUACUUGUCCCCUUCCCUGGUGGCCACAGAGCCCGGGGAGGCCAGGGCUGUAGGUUAUUUUUCUGUGUAUCUGCAAAGCCCAGUACAAGGCCUGUGUGAACUGCGCUCCCAGCGGGUGCGUGAAUGAAGGAGGAGUCAGGCAGGGACUGUGGACCCGCCCGGGAGGUGUGGGGGCCUGGAGCUCCCACGCUGGGCACCAGGAUGGGGCGAGACAGGAACUCGGCCAUCCCCUGGUGAGGUUAUUUUGGUCGCCGCAA